GAUGAACGCUGGCGGCGUGCCUAAUACAUGCAAGUCGAGCGAACAGAUAAGGAGCUUGCUCCUUUGAAGUUAGCGGCGGACGGGUGAGUAACACGUGGGUAACCUACCUAUAAGACUGGGAUAACUUCGGGAAACCGGAGCUAAUACCGGAUAACAUUUACAACCGCAUGGUUCUAAAGUGAAAGAUGGUUUUGCUAUCACUUAUAGAUGGACCCGCGCCGUAUUAGCUAGUUGGUAAGGUAACGGCUUACCAAGGCGACGAUACGUAGCCGACCUGAGAGGGUGAUCGGCCACACUGGAACUGAGACACGGUCCAGACUCCUACGGGAGGCAGCAGUAGGGAAUCUUCCGCAAUGGGCGAAAGCCUGACGGAGCAACGCCGCGUGAGUGAUGAAGGGCUUCGGCUCGUAAAACUCUGUUAUUAGGGAAGAACAAAUGUGUAAGUAACUGUGCACGUCUUGACGGUACCUAAUCAGAAAGCCACGGCUAACUACGUG
rnacentral:rRNA from 1 species